GACAGAGGUGCCGAGCGUUAGGCGGAAUCACUGGGCUUAAAGCGUGUGUAGGCGGGCGGGCAAGUACCUUGUGAAAUCCCACGGCUCAACCGUGGAACUGCUGGGUAUACUGCUCGUCUUGAGCCAAUCAGGGGCGAGCGGAACAGACGGUGGAGCGGUGAAAUGCGUAGAGAUCGGAAAGAACACCAACGGCGAAAGCACUCUGCUGGGCCGACACUGACACUGAGAGACGAAAGCUAGGGGAGCGAACGGG
rnacentral:rRNA from 1 species